rnacentral:rRNA from 1 species
AGUGAACGCUGGCGGUAGGCCUAACACAUGCAAGUCGAACGGCAGCACAGUAAGAGCUUGCUCUUACGGGUGGCGAGUGGCGGACGGGUGAGGAAUACAUCGGAAUCUACUUUUUCGUGGGGGAUAACGUAGGGAAACUUACGCUAAUACCGCAUACGACCUACGGGUGAAAGCAGGGGAUCUUCGGACCUUGCGCGAUUGAAUGAGCCGAUGUCGGAUUAGCUAGUUGGCGGGGUAAGGGCCCACCAAGGCGACGAUCCGUAGCUGGUCUGAGAGGAUGAUCGGCCACACUGGAACUGAGACACGGUCCAGACUCCUACGGGAGGCAGCAGUGGGGAAUAUUGGACAAUGGGCGCAAGCCUGAUCCAGCCAUACCGCGUGGGUGAAGAAGGCCUUCGGGUUGUAAAGCCCUUUUGUUGGGAAAGAAAAGCAGCAGGUUAAUACCCCGCUGUUCUGGCGGUACCCAAAGAAUAAGCACCGGCUAACUUCGUG